GAUGAACGCUGACAGAAUGCUUAACACAUGCAAGUCAUUGGCGAAGCUGCGCUUGCGCAGUCUAGCCAAGGCGGACGGGUGAGUAACGCGUAAGGAACUUGCCCUGCAGACAGGGAUAACAGACGGAAACGACUGAUAACACCUGGUAUUGUCAGGCUGGCGCAUGCCGGCCUGAUGAAAGGAGACGCUGCAGGAGAGCCUUGCGUCCUAUUAGCUAGUUGGUGGGGUAACGGCCCACCAAAGCGAUGAUAGGUAGCCGGCCUGAGAGGGUGAACGGCCACAAGGGGACUGAGAUACGGCCCUUACUCCUACGGGAGGCAGCAGUGGGGAAUAUUGGACAAUGGGGGCAACCCUGAUCCAGCAAUUCUGUGUGCACGAAGAAGGUUUUCGGAUUGUAAAGUGCUUUCAGCAGGGAAGAAGAAAGUGACGGUACCUGCAGAAGAAGCGACGGCUAAAUACGUG
rnacentral:rRNA from 1 species